AAUGACUCUCGGCAACGGAUAUCUCGGCUCUCGCAUCAAUGAAGAAACGCAGCAAAWUGCGAUACUUGGUGUGAAUUGCAGAAUCCCGUGAACCAUCGAGUCUUUGAACGCAAGUUGCGCCCGAAGCCAUUAGGCCGAGGGCACGUCUGGCUGGGUGUCACACAACG
rnacentral:rRNA from 1 species